rnacentral:tRNA from 1 species
GAAAUAUUUUUAUAUUAAGCUUCUAACUUAAUUCUAAGCAAUAAUUGUUUGUAUUUCU